GCUGGCCAUGCUGUCUCAGUCACUGAAGUCCCCAUCAGGUCUUCUAGGAUCAGUGUGGUUGUCUAUGAUACUCAAGUCAACCACGGAAGUGGCGUUCGUCGGUGUUUCUCCCGAAUGGAUAUCUCUCUUGUUUGGCUGGCCCUGCUGUCUCAGUCACUGAAGUCCCUAUUUUUGGUUUUUUUUCUGCCUUACAUGCCACUGUUUUGCAUACCUUCCAUAGGUAAAGCGGAGCUCUAUGAUACUUCAGCGAACAGCUCUGGAUUUCGAAGGGAAUGUUGUUGAAGCCACAUGACGCCCGCUGCACUGGUGUGUGGUUGCUCA